CAUAGAGAUAUAGACACAGACGCAAAUACAGUCACAUAGAGAUAUAGACACACACUUAUACACACAUAUAUGUAAAUAUACAGUCUCAUUCACUUUAUACCACACAUGUAUAAACAUACACAAUUGUAUGUAGACACACAUACACAUAGGUACUCAGACCGCAUAGAUACAUAUGUACACACAUACAAAUAUAUGCACAUACACAGAUAUAUAUAUACACACAUGCAUCUUUAACCAGAACAACUUUACUUUUGUCAGUUUUAUAUGACAGAGUCUUUAAAAAAAGAUUUCAUCUGGCUUGUGUUCUACUAUUAAAAGAGAAAAUGAAUUUGCUUGUU
rnacentral:lncRNA from 10 species